GUCAGCUGGGAGAGCAAUGUGGUGUGAAGGAACAGUGUCUGCUCGUCACCCACAACUCCACCUGUGAGGCCACCGUCUGCGUCUGUCAGGAAACUUUUAAUCGAGAGGGAAACAUUUGCAAGUUUGACCACAGGAAAGCGGGCUUCACGGAGUACGGCGGCCGACUGGUCUACCAUCGCAUUCCUGGACUUGUGUUUCCCAUCUCCUGGAAUGGUGCAGUACAGUAUUGCAAGGAUCGUGACUCCACCAUGUUCAUUCCUCGGAACGCUAAUGAAUUUACCUGGAUAGACGACCAAAUCAGGAGUUAUUUGGGUAUAGCGGCGCACUUCCCUCUCAAUGACAAGAAUUUGGAAGGCUCGCUGAUGUGGAACGACGGAACAAGUGUGGGAGGAGAGCAGAUACUAGGCUGGGAUCCGUUGUCACUCAACCUGGACCUCUUUGAUUGUGUAGCCAUGUUCUCUAGCAAAGGUGUCUAUCCGUUGCUCACCCCUCCCUACCUGGCCUACCAAGAAUGUUCUCUAUUUAUCGUUCUAUACUCGGUGAUCUGUGAGGCGCCUCUGUGAGUGUCUGGGCCGAUUCUGUCCACACUCACAAACUUUGGGUGUGUUUUGAUAAACAGCUCAAGUGUGUGUGUGUUUUUGAUGCAAUUUGGUAAUAACUACGACAUAACAAUAAUUUAAUAAACUGUUUUGUUUUUCGAAAUUAGAAAUGGUGUUUACGUACACAAGAGUAAUAGUUUCGAUAAAUAUGUCGGACUAAAAAAGUACUACAUAUAACACCAGCACCUUACUGAUCUAACCUAAUUCAAGUAGAUCUGGGUUAAGUUUGCAAAGUACGUUUAAAUGAGCUGGAGUUAGUUACCACAUUUCUAUAAAUUUUCAUGAGGUUAAAACUAAGUUCAAAAUUUUAAUCCCUAUUUUGCAAGACAACCCCUUGUGUUUUAUCUUUACUUUAAUAGGAUGAUUAUCCUUAACACCUGAAUCACAUUCAACUUGUAAAAUGAAAACAAAGAAAAAUAGUCAUAUGUUUGAGAUCUACGUUGAACUUUUUUUAAUUUAUAAUCUACAUAUUUUUGUCCUCACUCAUAUCUAGGGGAAGUGUUUAAAUUGUCGAGGGAAUGACUGUUUCGUUUUAUGGUGUUUAGGCAA